rnacentral:rRNA from 1 species
GAUGAACGCUGGCGGCGUGCCUAAUACAUGCAAGUCGAGCGAACAGACGAGGAGCUUGCUCCUCUGACGUUAGCGGCGGACGGGUGAGUAACACGUGGAUAACCUACCUAUAAGACUGGGAUAACUUCGGGAAACCGGAGCUAAUACCGGAUAAUAUGUUGAAUCGCAUGGUUCAACAGUGAAAGACGGUCUUGCUGUCACUUAUAGAUGGAUCCGCGCCGCAUUAGCUAGUUGGUAAGGUAACGGCUUACCAAGGCAACGAUGCGUAGCCGACCUGAGAGGGUGAUCGGCCACACUGGAACUGAGACACGGUCCAGACUCCUACGGGAGGCAGCAGUAGGGAAUCUUCCGCAAUGGGCGAAAGCCUGACGGAGCAACGCCGCGUGAGUGAAGAAGGUCUUCGGAUCGUAAAACUCUGUUAUUAGGGAAGAACAAGUGUGUAAGUAACUAUGCACGUCUUGACGGUACCUAAUCAGAAAGCCACGGCUAACUACGUG